rnacentral:rRNA from 1 species
AUUGAACGCUGGCGGCAUGCCUUACACAUGCAAGUCGAACGGCAGCACGGGGGCAACCCUGGUGGCGAGUGGCGAACGGGUGAGUAAUACAUCGGAACGUGCCCACUAGUGGGGGAUAGCUCGGCGAAAGCCGGAUUAAUACCGCAUAAGACCUUAGGGUGAAAGCGGGGGAUCGCAAGACCUCGCGCUAAUGGGACCGCCGAUGUCGGACUAGGGAGUUGGUGGGGCUAAGGCCUACCAAGCCGACGAUCUGUAGCUGGUCUGAGAGGACGACGAGCCACACUGGGCCGUAGACACGGCCCAGACUCCUACGGGAGGCAGCAGUGGGGAAUUGUGGACAAUGGGCGAAAGCCUGAUCCAGCCAUGCCGCGUGCGGGAAGAAGGCCUUCGGGUUGUAAACCGCUUUUGUCAGGGAAGAAACGAGUUUCUCUAAUACAGAGACUUAAUGACAGUACCUGAAGAAUAAGCACCGGCUAACUACGUGCCAGCAGCCGCGGUAACAC